rnacentral:rRNA from 1 species
GACGAACCGUGCGAACGUUGUUCGGAAUCACUGGGCUUAAAGGGCGCGUAGGCGGGCCGUCAAGUCAGGAGUGAAAUCCCCCGGCUCAACCGGGGAACGGCUUUUGAUACUGGCGGCCUCGAGGGGGGUAGGGGCAUGCGGAACUUCCGGUGGAGCGGUGAAAUGCGUAGAUAUCGGAAGGAACGCCCGCGGCGAAAGCGCGGUCCUGGACGCCUGCUGACGCUGAGACGCGAAAGCCAGGGGAGCGAACAGG